rnacentral:rRNA from 1 species
CCUAUCCGUCGUGGGCGUAGGAAAUUUGAGAGGAGCUGUCCUUAGUACGAGAGGACCGGGAUGGACGCACCGCUGGUGUACCAGUUGUCUUGCCAAAGGCAUCGCUGGGUAGCUAUGUGCGGACGGGAUAAGCGCUGAAAGCAUCUAAGUGCGAAGCCCCCCUCAAGAUGAGAUUUCCCAUUUCUUCAAGAAAGUAAGACACCUCAGAGACGAUGAGGUAGAUAGGCCGGGAGUGGAAGAGCCGUGAGGCUUGGAGCGGACCGGUACUAAUCAGUCGAGGACUUGACMAAA